rnacentral:rRNA from 1 species
UACGUAGGGGGCAAGCGUUGUCCGGAAUCAUUGGGCGUAAAGAGCGCGUAGGCGGCUUGUCGCGUCGGAUGUGAAAGCCCGGGGCUUAACUCCGGGUCUGCAUUCGAUACGGGCAGGCUAGAGUUCGGUAGGGGAGAUCGGAAUUCCUGGUGUAGCGGUGAAAUGACGCAGAUAUCAGGAGGAACACCGAUGGCGAAGGCAGGGUCUCUGGGGCCGAUACUGACGUGAGGAGCGAAAAGCGUGGGGG